GGAGUUAGCCGGUGCUUCUUCUGCGAGUAACGUCACAGAUGUAAGGUAUUAACUUACACCCUUUCCUCCUCGCUGAAAGUGCUUUACAACCCGAAGGCCUUCUUCACACACGCGGCAUGGCUGCAUCAGGGUUUCCCCCAUUGUGCAAUAUUCCCCACUGCUGCCUCCCGUAGGAGUCUGGGCCGUGUCUCAGUCCCAGUGUGGCUGAUCAUCCUCUCAGACCAGCUAGGGAUCGUCGCCUAGGUGAGCCUUUACCUCACCUACUAGCUAAUCCCACCUGGGCUUAUCCAUCAGCGCAAGGCCCGAAGGUCCCCUGCUUUCCCCCGUAGGGCGUAUGCGGUAUUAGCAGUCGUUUCCAACUGUUAUCCCCCACAAAUGGGCAAAUUCCCAGGCAUUACUCACCCGUCCGCCGCUCGUCAUCUUCAAAAGCAAGCUUUUGAAAUGUUACCGCUCGACUUGCAUGUGUUAGGCCUGCCGCCAGCGUUCAAUCUGAGCCAUGAUUAAACUCUGA
rnacentral:rRNA from 1 species